CGUGCCGUGUACAGGCUUCUCAGCACUAAAUAAAGAAAUAUACCUACUCUGGUGCCAGAAUUCUUCUACUCUUUGUAGCUCCAGGCUGGUUUUAAUGCCACAUCUUUUUCUUUCCUUCUCCCUACAGUGGAAGCGAACAUUGACUCCAGCUGAGCAGAGGCCAGCAUCAAACAGUGGGAACUCCAUACUUGCUCUGGGCAGCCUGUUCCAGGGCUCUGGCACCCCCAAAGAAUUUUCUACUCAUGUUCAGAUGGAACCUCCCAUGUUUCAGUCUAUGCUCAUUGCCCCUCAUCCUGUCGUUGGGCACCACUGAACAGAGUCUGGUCCAUCUGCUUUACAGCCACCCUGAGAUAUUGAUCAGCAUCAAUAAGAUCCCCCUCAGCUUCUCUUUUCCAGCUGAACAGCCCCAGCUCUCUCAGUGUCUCCUCAUCAGAAAGAUGCUCUGGACCCCUGAGCAUCUCUGUGUCCCUCCACCGGACUCUCACCAGCAAUUCCUUGUCCUUCCUGAAGUGGGGAGCCCAGAACUGGACCCCGGACUCCAACCUGAGACCUCAUCCCUCCACAUGUCCCUGGAGGAGCAACUGUACCAUUGCUGCCAGUAACCUGCUGGUUGAAUAUCAGCAACUUCCAGAGCUCCUGUUUGCUCAGGUGCUGUCGGAGAGAAGAGAGGACGUCCAAAGACCCUGAUAUGCUGAGGAUGAUACAGGUUUCUCCCCUGCCUCCCCCUUAAAACAAUAUCUGGGAGUAAUAGGUGUCUGUCACACUUUGCGGGCCACCGUCCACAGACGCAGAGCAAGAUUUCGGCGCCGUUAGAGAUUUCUACCUGCAUGAAAUCUGGAGGUAAUUUAAUGGCUCACGAGAAAGGAAAUAAAUCUAUUAGAAUGGAA